GCGCGGAAGAUGUAACGGGGCUAAACCAUGCACCGAAGCUGCGGCAGCGAACGUAUCACUUAAAGCGAUUCAGCGGGUUACGAUUGACGGAGCGAAGCGACGUCAAAGCGUAUACAAAGUCGAGUCGGUUUAAGGAUACGUUCGUUGGGUAGGGGAGCGUUCUGUAAGCCUGUGAAGGUGGCCUGUGAGGGUUGCUGGAGGUAUCAGAAGUGCGAAUGCUGACAUAAGUAACGAUAAAGCGGGUGAAAAGCCCGCUCGCCGGAAGACCAAGGGUUCCUGUCCAACGUUAAUCGGGGCAGGGUGAGUCGACCCCUAAGGCGAGGCCGAAAGGCGUAGUCGAUGGGAAACGGGUUAAUAUUCCCGUACUUGGUGUUACUGCGAAGGGGGGACGGAGAAGGCUAUGUUGGCCGGGCGACGGUUGUCCCGGUUUAAGCGUGUAGGUGUGUGUUCCAGGUAAAUCCGGUUCACUUUAACACUGAG
rnacentral:rRNA from 1 species